CGCGUCACGCACGACGGACUAAGUGAAAGAGGGACUACUCGUAGUCUAUAUUAAUACAAGCUCUAACGACACAACAAUAAUACGGAAAUUCAACUACACCGCCUUAUUUAUGCGCCAUUAUAUUUAUUCAAGUAAGUUAAGUAGCCUGCAAUCUCCAUUGAGGAGUUUAUCAGUGAGCUACUCAUUAAAUACAAUCUUGAAAAUUUGUCUUAAUUAAGUGUGUUUUUGAAAAGUAUUUCCGUUUUUCGUCAAAGACAAUAUAUAGCACAUCCCCCCACCAAAAAAAAAAAAAAGAAAAAGAAAAAAUAAAAUAAGCUGCAUUUUCAAAUUCCUGACGGGGCCGAAGACGUACCAUUAAUUUAUCAUGUUGAAGGACUGUGAUUCAGUUGAAUAUCGUAUUUUAAAAAACAUGAGCCGCGACGGCUAAUUUUUCGAAUUUUCUUCUGGAAUUGAUCGCCGGCGUUACACUUCUAGUUUGAGUAGAGUCUUAGACCGAUCGACUUACUGAAUGAUAGGUAAUUGCGAAAUUCAAAGGUAAAAUUUUAGACCAUUUUUUUCAGCCGUCGUCCUUGGAGUCGCAGUCGUCAUUGCUUGAACUCUUCAUUAUUUCAAACUUGGAUACUUUUUCCUCAACUACUCUGUUUGCAAAAACACUCGUGCAGCCCUUCUCCCUCAUGUAAAACCAAGCCAUCUUACACACACUUACAGAAGCAAUUCCUUCCUUCAAUACAGAAAUCUAUUAAUCACUAUGAAACUUCAAAACGCAAAACAAGAUAGCAUUUCGCCUGGUUGGCACUUGCCGGAAGGUAUAACUAGUUCUAUACGGAGAGGUGUUCGUGCAAAAAUCUUCUCAAUGCAGAGUAUUUCUGCGUUGACAGAUUGAGUACUUGCGUCAUAAAUGCAAAGAACAAAGGGGAAACAUUGCCAAAAGAAUUUAUACGAGGAAGUCGUUUCACCUUCAGGUCGAAUAUAACUUGACCUCAUGUUAGCUACGAAUGCGAAAGCCUUAUAGAGCGUAUUCACAAAAGGUCUAACUGGAAGCGAAGGAAGGAGUGAAGGAAGAAUCGAGUGAAUCUCCCAUCUAUACCUAUAUUAUUUUCCAUGUUAAAAAUCGGAAUGGAAAUGAGAUUUGCGCAAAUUUUAGGCUGGGAAAUGGGAUUUACUCUCCCCCCGUCCCUUCUCAUAGUAUGCCGGAUCGUCUGCUUUGUUUAUAAUUCUGCCGUAUCAACAGAUUGCAGCACGUCUGAAAUUCGGAAGACGCGUGCAAAAGUUUACACGUAAACUAACAGUUCAGCCAUCCACCUAUUGGGGACUGUGAGAAACAGAAAUUAUAUUCAUUAUGAUACUUUCAAAUUGUUACUUUCAUGACAACAGGUUACGAAAUCCUUAUCUUCUGAUCAAUGAGUGGGCUCUCGUUUCUCGUUCAUCCCUCGACUACAAGUCAUUCAAGGUUCAGCCAGUUCGGAAUUCGCUUUACUCGCACAAUUCUACUUUCAGUUUCAGUUGAUUUACAAUUUGCGUUAAGAACAUUACCAAACGAAACGAGAGAAACUGUAGAAUGUCCUGACAGUUUUAAAACAUGGCCCGAUUGUAAGUAUGUACAAGUUAUACUGGAUAUAUCAAUAUCCCAACAUGGCUCCAAGCCUUCAGGACAAACUUUUAUAUUUGGCGGUGUUUUCUUUGUAUCCAAGUCUCUUCUGGGAAUUGAGGGACGAAGGGAACUUCACAAAGUGCAAUUUUGUCCUGAAAGCCACGGAGCAUAGAAUAUCGACAUAUUGAACGUGGACUUGCAGUUGUCGCUAAAGCGCUAUUUAAUAGCAAGUCGAUUUUGUCGCACAAUUUAUGUUUGGUGAUUUCUCUGAUCCACAGCACACAAAAUUAAGUGUGAUUUGCUGCAUUAGUAGAAGAGCAGCAGGGAACCAAGAAAGAAAAAAAAACCAUGCCUUGUCAUCUUGCUGGAUCUGCGAUUGCACAGGGUCCCAAUGUUGGUCUAAUUGACAAGUGGUCAGAUUGGAACCCAGAUUCUAUUAAGACCAAAUGGUUGCUAUUGUCAGGCGCUUCAGAUCCUCCAGACAACAUUGCUAUCUCUGAUAGAAGGACCAGGGACACUCAUGGAGUCAAAGGCGGGACAUUUCGUUCUGCUGUUGCUCAUGACUUGGCCAACAUGGAAGCUGCAGUUGGAGCUAAGUUGUUUAAAACUGUUAAAGAUAUUUGUCUAACUAAUUCCGCAGCCACUGGUCAUAUUCGGAAACUUUUUGAUACGUGCAAAUGUGACCGGGUUAAACCUAUCUUGUACUACACUGGGCAUGGAGAAAUUGGGACUGGAAACUGGUGCUUUGCUAAUGGGACAAUCAGUAUUCAAGGAAUUCUUAAUAUGAGUCCUGAAGGAACUCACUACCCAAUGAUUUUCAGCGAUGCUUGCUACAGUGGCCAUUGGGCAAAUUUCUGUCUGAAAAAGAACAUCCCGGGAUUCCACUGUCUGGCAGCAUGUCCGGAGUAUUCUAAAGCUGUUGAUACCAAAGGCGAAGGUGGGGAUUUGACUUUGUUCAUCACCGGAAAACUACCACGUCCAAGAACUGAACCUAUUUACAGUAGAAGGAACAGGAACGACUUUCCGAUUACCACUGGAUAUGACUCCGUUGAGUACACUGAUUUUAUCGGUAGCCAUUUGCUCAGUUCUGAAGAUAUUUUGAUCAGCCAAAGUUUCCACAAUGGAUGCUUUAGUGGUAUUUUUGCAGCUUCAAAAAUGUACACUCCCAGGCCCGCCGUUUCCUGGGAAAUUCGAUCUAACUAUGACUCUUUCUUCGAGUUGGUCAACGAAAAUUGGAAUCGGAUGAAUCGAAAGUCCAAACAGAUAUAUUCUCUCGCCUGCGAUGAAAAGUUGGGAUUUGGAGUACUUUUCUUGGCAAAUUAUGGCGUGGAUCAAACAAUUUUGACGAACACAUCAGAUAUAGGGAAGAAAGAGAAAGAUGGUUUUCAGAUCACUGCUUGUGCUGCCCAGGGUUCAACAUUCUAUAUCGUCAUGACAAAGGACACAAGAGAAUACCAAGGGAAACAGGCAUGGUUCACUUUGAAUUCAUGGGACGAGGCUAAAAAUGUAAUCCAGGAGAACCAGGAUAAGGGAAGAGUUGUAACAGGGAUAUGCUACUCCACUGGCCAGAUGAAGUAUCUUGUUGUCGUGAUGGAGACAACACAGGACCAGAUUUACAGGAAGUUUCGUCGUGUAACUGACUUGGACAAUUGGGUGAAAGAACAAUAUAAAGAGGGAUUUCAUCCUACCAUUAUCUUCAAGGAUCCAGCUGAUACCAAAACCUUAGUCGUGAUGAUUAAAGAUGGAAACAGGUCGUGUUAUACAUGUAAAUAUGAUUGUAAGGUGGUCCAUUAAUUAGGCGUCACAAAAUAUUCUCGUGGGAUGUUUUUCAAAAAAAAAAAAAAAAAAAAUUCUAGAAUGUAUAUUGAACUUACGUGAAACCUGAUUGGCUCACGAAAUAGCCCAAGUUUUAGAAGUCACACUAAAACUGAGUGCUAACCCGGUGAUUUGGACGCCCCCUUUCAUAGGUUUAGUGCACCAUGUAGUAAUUUUCAACAAAAGCAAGGACUAAAAGCAGACUAUUGUAUUUAGGUUUCCAUCACUAAAAAUGUAUUUUAGGUUUUGACUGUUCGACGUCAUACUCUCAUAGUGCCCCUUUCAUUGUAGUACGCACAAUUUCCCCAAUCUGGUAAAUAAAAUGUCAACAGAACA